GACGUAGGGCGCGAGCGUUGUCCGGAUUUAUUGGGCGUAAAGAGCUCGUAGGCGGCUUGUCGCGUCGAAUGUGAAAACUCGGGGCUCAACUCCGAGCUUGCAUUCGAUACGGGCAGGCUAGAGUUCGGUAGGGGAGACUGGAAUUCCUGGUGUAGCGGUGAAAAUGCGCAGAUAUCAGGAGGAACACCGGUGGCGAAGGCGGGUCUCUGGGCCGAUACUGACGUGAGGAGCGAAAAGCGUGGGGGAGCGAAACAGG
rnacentral:rRNA from 1 species